rnacentral:rRNA from 2 species
AUCUACCUUUUACAGGGGAAUAGCCCAGAGAAAUUUGGAUUAAUACCCCAUGGUAUUAUUGAUCGGCAUCGGUCGGUAAUUAAAGAUUCAUCGGUAAAAGAUGAGUAUGCGUUCUAUUAGCUAGUAGGUGUGGUAACGGCACACCUAGGCAACGAUAGAUAGGGGCCCUGAGAGGGGGAUCCCCCACACUGGUACUGAGACACGGACCAGACUCCUACGGGAGGCAGCAGUGAGGAAUAUUGGACAAUGGGCGAGAGCCUGAUCCAGCCAUGCCGCGUGCAGGAAGACGGCCCUAUGGGUUGUAAACUGCUUUUAUACAGGAAGAAACACCCCCUCGUGAGGGGGCUUGACGGUACUGUAAGAAUAAGGAUCGGCUAACUCCGUGCCAGCAGCCGCGGUAAUACGGAGGAUCCAAGCGUUAUCCGGAAUCAUUGGGUUUAAAGGGUCCGUAGGUGGAUGAUUAAGUCAGAGGUGAAAUCCUGCAGCUCAACUGUAGAAUUGCCUUUGAUACUGGUCAUCUUGAAUUAUUAUGAAGUAGUUAGAAUAUGUAGUGUAGCGGUGAAAUGCAUAGAUAUUACAUAGAAUACCAAUUGCGAAGGCAGAUUACUAAUAAUAUAUUGACACUGAUGGACGAAAGCGUGGGGAGCGAACAGGAUUAGAUACCCUGGUAGUCCACGCCGUAAACGAUGGUUACUAGCUGUUCGAACUUCGGUUUGAGUGGCUAAGCGAAAGUGAUAAGUAACCCACCUGGGGAGUACGUUCGCAAGAAUGAAACUCAAAGGAAUUGACGGGGGCCCGCACAAGCGGUGGAGCAUGUGGUUUAAUUCGAUGAUACGCGAGGAACCUUACCAGGGCUUAAAUGUAGAGUGACAGGUCUAGAGACAGACCCUUCUUCGGACACUUUACAAGGUGCUGCAUGGUUGUCGUCAGCUCGUGCCGUGAGGUGUCAGGUUAAGUCCUAUAACGAGCGCAACCCCUGUUGUUAGUUGCCAGCGAGUCAAGUCGGGAACUCUAGCAAGACUGCCAGUGCAAACUGCGAGGAAGGUGGGGAUGACGUCAAAUCAUCACGGCCCUUACGUCCUGGGCUACACACGUGCUACAAUGGUAGGUACAGAGAGCAGCCACACCGCGAGGUGGAGCGAAUCUACAAAACCUAUCACAGUUCGGAUCGGAGUCUGCAACUCGACUCCGUGAAGCUGGAAU